rnacentral:rRNA from 1 species
CAGCAGCCACGGGAAUACGAAGGGUGCAAGCGUUACUCGGAAUUACUGGGCGUAAAGCGUGCGUAGGUGGUGGUUUAAGUCCGUUGUGAAAGCCCUGGGCUCAACCUGGGAAUUGCAGUGGAUACUGGAUCACUAGAGUGUGGUAGAGGAUAGUGGAAUUUCCGGUGUAGCAGUGAAAUGCGUAGAGAUCGGAAGGAACAUCUGUGGCGAAGGCGACUAUCUGGGCCAACACUGACACUGAGGCACGAAAGCGUGGGGAGCAAACAGGAUUAGAUACCCGAGUAGUCCCUGUCUCUUAUAC